ensembl:lncRNA
CUUUAGGGCUUCCUCCAAGAAAAAAAAACCAAAAAACAAAAAUCAAAUCAAAAAAAAAAAAAAAAAAAAAGGCAGGGGGGGGAGAGAAAAAGAUGAUGAAUCUUUCCAUGCUGGAUGAAAGCGGCCUGUCUUGACUAUUUACCCAGCAAUUAUAAGUAAAUCGGUGGUGCCUAAAGGGGCUGGUUGCCAUAGUUACAAUAGGAUUGGAAGGACCAUCAUUUGGUCCUGGCCGCAGCCAAUCAGGCUGAGAAGCCAAAGCUGCAAUAUAAAGUAAAGAUUCCCAUCUUCCAGCCACACAGUUGCCAAGAAAGGGAAAUAGGUUCAAGAGUGUUGGAAAGUGCUCCGGACAGCAAGCAGGGCGGCUGCUCCCGUCAUGGCGGACUGCGAAAACCCAGCCGGCGCGCGACGCAGCGGGGCAGGCAGGUGAGAAAUCCCAACGCUCCCCAUCUCCCCGGUCAUUGUUCUCCUUCGCCACGGCCCCCGCCGCCCCACCCCACCCGCGGCCACCACCGACCCCCUCGCCCCAGCCCCAAAACCCACAAUGAAACCCCCUUCGGGCGAGAGACAAAGAGAUCCGUGCGGAAAAACGCUCCACCAUUCUCCCCAAAUUGUGAUCGUAGGCCUUUCAAAUCAAAUUUCGCAAAGCAGCUUCAUCAAAGGCCCCCAGCUGGGAGACGCAGCCCCAUAUUCCUGCCGCCCACACGGCCCCCCCAGGUCUUGGAUGGUGCGACAAUCGCACACAAAGUCAGCGCGGCUCGAGAAGUGUGUUUGCAAGAAAAGGGGGGAAGAAAGAGAAAAAGCGAGAGCGAGAAAGAGCGGCGCCUAAAUUGAUCAUAGUCUCCAAAUCUCAUUACUCGAGACUUCUGAGGACGGAUAUUUCCAAAGGCUGCUAUUAAAGACUUGUAAAUGGAGCCCCUUUAUGAGAUCAAAGCCCAAGGGCCGGGCGCAGGGCGUGCGGUGGCUGUUGUGGCGGUGGCGGAGGGGCGAGCGGAGCCGCAGGAUGCUGGGGGAGCCUUCCUCCCCUGCUGCUGCUGCCCUCCAUGUUUCCAGUGUCGCUGCUGCCGCUGCGUGACCCAUCUUGCAAUGGAUACUGCGAGCGUGAUGUCGGGCAGAGCCGAACGCCGCCCCGGCUCCCGGCGACUGGAACGGAGAUGGGCGAACUCCACCACCCGCAGCGCCGGGGAUGGAGAGAGAGUUCCCAAACUCAAGCAGCUCCCUUCCAAAACGCCAUAGUAAUAAAUGAGCCGAUUCCAGUCGGGACCUCUCGGGACACCUCGCCUUGCAGAUCAGCUCGCGGCACGGGGCGCUGGCUCCGCGGGGCCGUCCUGGCCUCAGGUCUUCUCCGUUGGGUCCCUUUUUGUCCCCAAGUUGCGGCAUCUCGCCGCCUUGCUGGCCAUGGGCAGAAGGGGGCCGAGGACAAAGGGAGGUGGACAGAAGUUGCACGACUUUUCUCUUCCCGCUGCCUCCCCUCUGAUAAGGGCUGAUUUCUGUUGUCGGUGACACGUUCAGCUCCGGGCAGCAUUCCCAGCACCGGCACCACCAGCAGGCAGGCGCCCCAUCAUAUUCAUGGAAAGCAAACUCACAGAUGGUAAAAUAACAGAGUCGUGUAUGUUUCAAAGAGACCUUCUAUGUCAAUUGUUAUAUUAUUAGGUAAACUCUAAGAAGAAAAUCUUUUAAUCCACUGUGGCUAAUCCAGUCCACUUUUGUUGGCCAGGACAUAUUCAGCAUCAACAAAAGGCUCUGGCCAACGAACACCGGCAUACAUAAUGUAUUUAUAACUCCGGGAGCUGGCUGGGCAGCUCCCAGAAAGAGACGCUCCUCGGGCCCGCAGCAGGGGCCGGAGUGGAGGAUUUGCCCAACUUUUAUCAGUUUUCUUUUCAUUUCAAAGAACCCGACCGAUAUUUUCACUGCGUCGCUUACCAGGAGAGGCACAAAGAGGGCAGGGACAUUCCUGGCUCCAGCCAGCCCUCAGCCCGGACCCGCUGGGAUCUGCACCCUUCAUCUCCCUCCCCUGUGUCCUGGGCAGCACGGGGAUGCAGGAUGGCUGGGCCUGAGGAAACACAUCCAGGCAGCAGGCAGGGAGCGUGGGGCCCUGAGGUGCCCGGAGUGCCGGGACGGAGGCGGAUGGGACAGGGAGCAGCGUGCCUUCUGGGAGGAUGGAGUGCUUCAGUGACGCGGGCAGAGCAGCACCGCUGGGACACACGGAGACUGCAUCCCAUCCACGGCCACCCGAGAGGAGCACAGAGCCCAGCAGCACAGAGCAUGGAGAGGCAAGCCUGGGGACAAAGACCCAAGACGGAUCCCACAGGCCAUUGAUGAAAAUGCUGAAUAGCACUGGGCUUCACAUCAAACCCUGCGGACACCCACUGAGCGUGCUCCCAUUCUGCAAGGAUUCCCCAUUGAUGCCUGUCGGUUUGCCAGCUCCCCGUCCCUUUAAGGUGUCCCUCUUGAUGUUGCAUUGUGCUAAUUUUUAAUCAGAAUGCUAUAUGGAUUAAGUCA